GUAAGGUAGGGGGAUGGGGAAAGAGCUGCUUUGCACAGCUAAGGUGUUUUUGUCAUCCACCUAGAAACUGAGAGGUACAAGGGCAACCCUUGCCCAAAACCCCCCUAAAGAGGGAAGGGCUUGUAUCACUGACCAAGGCUAACUUUGAAGAUGCCAGAGGACUCCAAGACAACAGUUUCUCUGCUCUGUGGCCAUCCUACCAAUGCAGGACCUGAGAAACUGGUGUAACUUUGACCAUGCCAUGGUAACCCAGGUGGAACAAAAUUGAGUUCAUGGGGAUGGGGACCUGGGAGAGUUUCUGUUUGGGAUGCCACAGAGUAGCAGAAAGGACCCAACUAAGAAAUCUCAAGAAGGGACUCGGGAUCUAUAGUAAAAUAUGUUAAGGAGUGUUUCUCAUUUCACUGGGGAAGAUAGUUACCCACAGUCACUUAAGUAGUUGGCAGUGGAACCUUGAAUCUCACCUUGAAGUAAAGGGCCUAUAAGAAAGAUGGCUGGAUCCUUCCUAGUGGGACCAGCCCCUUCCAGAGGUAGCAGAUGAAGGAAGAAAGGGCACUGGAGAAUGACCCACUAAAGGUUCUCCAAGUGGUCCUGAGCAUCAGGACCUUGUCUGGGAGUGUGGGCUUCCUACUACCUGGCUGUAGGCCCUGGUCGGGUAGAUGGGGCUUCUGGGAAGGGGGUGGUCCUUCUGAGCUGUGUUUCUCCUCCAGGGGCUGAUCUGGAGGACACUAACAAAAGCACGAAGAAGUUGGAUGCCAUGACCCUCAUUAAAGAAGACAUGUCCAUCUUCGGGCACUGCCCUGCGCAUGACGACUUCUAUUUGGUCGUGUGUAACCACUGCAGCCAGGUGGUGAAGCCUCAAGCUUUCCAGAAGCACUGCGAAAGAAGACAUGGGCCCCUCAGCAAGCUUUACGCCCGGGCCCCACCCCCACCUCCAGCCCCCGCCAGCUCUCAGAAAUGCCAUGUAGUGAAUGGGCAGGGCCCAGCUUGUAGGGCCCCAGGUUCCACCAAAACCUCCUCCAGGGAGAAGGGCCAGGGGUCCCGGAGCCGUGGCCACCAACCUCCUGAGAAGAGCCAGAAGGACAACCUCUGCCUUUUCGUGCCUGUGGUGAAUCUGGAGAAGAUGUCCGGUCUCCCGAAGCCCGAUGGACAUGGAAUCAGGGUGGCCCCACCCUCUGCUUUCCUCAGCCAGCCGGGCAGCCUCACCAAGGACUCCCCUGGAAAACCCCCCAUGGUGCCCCCUUCUAAGGAACUUCCUGGCAGAGAACUUCCUGGCAAGAUAACCCCCAGCGAGGGCCCCAGUCACCGGGCUGAAGGCAGCCCCCCUGAAAAGGAGCCUGGCGGGGCCAGGCUGCCCCCUAAAACCCACCGGAAGAUGGCUCGGAAGGAGUUCGACCUCAACAGGCAGUGUGGGGUAGUAAAUCCGGAGACCAAAAAGAUCUGUACCCGCCUGCUGACCUGCAAGAUCCACUCGGUGCACCAGCGCCGGGAGGUCCAGGGCCGGGCUAAGGACUUUGACGUGCUAGUGGCGGAGCUGAAGGCCAACUCUCGCAAGGGGGAGUCCCCCAAGGAGAAGAGCCCUGGGCGCAAGGAGCCAGCUCUCGAGCGCCCCUCCCAGGAGCCCCCAGCCUCAGCCCCGGCUGUCGCAGUGGUGGCUGUUCCCAGCAGCACCUUCUCUGCUCGUGCCAAGCAGACCUACCCAUACUGUGCACUGCCCAGGUCCCGGGCCUCUGAGAGCGAGUUGGAUGAUGAAGGCCCCUGUGGUGGUGAUGGGGACCCAGGCCUGUUCCCCUUCCCCCUGCCCCGGGGUGGGGCCCAGGCCUCCAGCGAGGAGAGUGAGGAGGAGGGGACAUCUGAUGACCUCCACCUCCCCCCUGACUGCCAUUAUGCAACCCGGCCCCCCAGGCCACAGGCGUUCUGCACCUUUGGGAGCCGGCUGGUGAGUCCAGGGUGCUAUGUGUUCAGCCGCAGGCUGGACCGGUUCUGCUCGGCACUGAGCUCCAUGCUAGAAAGACAUCUCAGCUCACACAUGUGGAAGAAGAUCCCACCGGCGGCGGAGCCGCCAUCCCACCUUGCCAGCUCCCCCCUACCUGCUCCCCUGAGCCCAUCCUCUACAAGCAGCUGCCCCCACCUUCCAGGCCCACCGCCUAGACCUGCCUGCCCAGCUUCCACGCCCCCCACCAAGGACAGCCUUGUCUCCAGCUACCCUGCCGGCUCCCCCAGUGUGGCAGCUGCCUGCAGCCAGGCUGAGUGCAUGGGCGGGAGCCAGGCCAUCACCUCGCCACUGCCUGCCAACACGCCCUCCCCGUCCUUCAGCAGGCUCCCACCUUCAAAGGCCAGCAAGUCGUCCAAAAGCAAGGAUGGGGCCGAGGUGGAGGCGCCUUCCCGAAAGCGAAAGCUGUCCCCUGGCCCCACAACUUUCAAACGGACCUGCAUCCUGGAGCCCACUGGAAAAGGCAAACCUGCUAGCUGCCGGGGCCUCUCGGCCAAGACUAAAACCGCACUGGGCAUGGGGCUCAAUGGGACGGUGGGGCCCAGAGUGAAGCGGGCAGGGCCCCUGGACUGUCGAGGCUCCCCUCAGCCUGCCACACCAGUCAAGGCUUCUCAGAUGGACAACCGGGGAGCUGCUGGACUCCCGGCCAAGGCCCUGCCCACCAACUGCCUCUCUGAGGAGGAGGUAGCCAAGAAGCGGAAAAAUCUGGCCACUUAUUGCCGGCCAGUGAAGGCCAAGCACUGCCAGACUGGCCCCCCUGCCGACGCAGCCUGCUCUGUGCGCCGCAAGAAGCCAGGUCCAGCCCUGGCCUUUGAGGAGAAGUGUUCUACACUGAAGGUAGCCGCCCAGCUCCCUGCAGAGCAUGGGCAGGGGAGGGUCAGGAUGGGUGCGGGUGCAGUGCACCAUGGGAACCUGACACAGACAAGGUGCUGAGUAACUGCAGGGAAGGGAGGAAGGGGCAGGCUGAGGGAGUUCCUGGGCCAUCUUUAGGGAGAGGUGGGUCAGCUCAUCUCAAGGUGACCCCAGCUUUUGCUUGAUGGACCUUUUGCUAUCCAGCCCUCUCCCUCGAUCAGCCUAAGAGAUGCUUCCUCUGCCUCCCCCUCCCACAGCCCCCACUUUUGUCAUAAUCAAAGGGUCACUUUCUGAAUUGGCUGUGGUCUUCACUCCAGGAACUGGAGCUACCUCUGUUCCCUGAAGGGAAGGAAGUUGGACUCUCUGAACUCUGAUAAGAAAGGUUUGGGAGUCAAAAGCCCAUUAACAAGAAAGUGCCUGCCCACUGCGAUGGAGCCGCCAGCACCUCCUCCCCUCCAGAUCCGGGCCCCAGGCUGCUGCCGCUUUUUAUAACUUUAUAUUAUUUUUUUUAAGAAAAAAAACUUUAAAAUACCUCAA